CUCCAGCACAGAGUGACUGAGCUGGUCAGUAGCUGAAGGAGAAGAGAGGCUUGAGCAUGGAUAGGAAGGAGCCAAGUAAGGAUGCCUGGCUCAUAGGAUCAAGGAGGCUAUUCUGGGCAUGGGGCCAAGUGACAAAAGGGGCAGAGAUGCUAAUCAGAGAGAUCAGAAAAGAGGGAAAGAAAUGCCAAGCAGGGCUCUGACAGAGCCAGAUUUAGUGGCUGGAACCAGGCCAACAUUCCUUUUCCUUAGGACUUCCCAGGCUGUCUCAUUGCGGGUGCACUACAGCCUGAUGCAAAUCUAUUGCCAUUGUGUCACUAGUACUAUUUUACUAAUGAGCAGUAUGACAAACUACCAUGAUCUUUCCAUUCAGGUGCAGGGGCGGCGAGUUAUAUCUCCAUGUGGUGCCUUAGCACCAGCAAUAUUCAGAGCCCAGGGGCCCAGCUCCACCAAUAUUUGGGGCCGGGUGUCCCCCCUUCCCUGCCCAGCCCUC